rnacentral:rRNA from 1 species
GACAGAGGGUGCAAACGUUGUUCGGAAUCACUGGGCGUAAAGGGAGCGUAGGCGGGUUUCUAAGUCAGGUGUUUAAUCCCGGGGCCCAACCCCGGACAGGCACUUGAAACUGGGAAUCUUGAAUAGUGGAGAGGUCAGUGGAAUUGGGGGUGUAGCGGUGGAAUGCGUAGAGAUCCCCAAGAACACCAGUUGCGAAGGCGGCUGACUGGACACAUAUUGACGCUGAGGCUCGAAAGCAUGGGGAGCAAACAGG